GGCUCUGUAGUGUAGUUGGUUACACGUUUGCUUGGUAAGCAAAAGGUCGCAGGUGCAAUUCAAACCAGAGACG
rnacentral:tRNA from 1 species